rnacentral:rRNA from 1 species
AGAGUUUGAUUCUGGCUCAGGAUGAACGCUGGCGGCGUGCCUAACACAUGCAAGUCGAACGAAGCACUUAGACAGAACCUUCGGGUGACGUAUUGGUGACUGAGUGGCGGACGGGUGAGUAACGCGUGGGUAACCUGCCCUGUACAGGGGGAUAACAGUUAGAAAUGACUGCUAAUACCGCAUAAGCGCACGAUGGUAGCAUUACCAGGUGUGAAAAACUCCGGUGGUACAGGAUGGGCCCGCGUCUGAUUAGCUUGUUGGCGGGGUAAGAGCCCACCAAGGCGACGAUCAGUAGCCGGUCUGAGAGGAUGAACGGCCACAUUGGAACUGAGACACGGUCCAAACUCCUACGGGAGGCAGCAGUGGGGAAUAUUGCACAAUGGGGGGAACCCUGAUGCAGCCAACGCCGCGUGAGUGAAGAAGUAUUUCGGUAUGUAAAGCUCUAUCAGCAGGGAAGAUAAUGACGGUACCUGACUAAGAAGCUCCGGCUAAAUACGUGCCAGCCGCAGC